CCCUAUUAUAAUUGAUGUAGAUUUAAUUUUGAGUAGUAUAUGAUUUAUGCAGGAAACUUAAAGAAUUUGGCGGUGUAUAUUCUAAUUAGAGGAAUAUGUUUUUUAAUUGAUACCCCACAAUUAUCUUACUUUAAUUAAUUUAUUUUGUAUAUCUCCGUCUAAAAAAGAUUUUUUAAAAUAUUUUUUAGGUUUUAUAAUUUAUAAUAAGUCAGGUCAAGGUGCAGGUUAUAUUUGAGUUGAAAUGUAUUACAAUAAAUUUAUUUUUGGAUUAGAAUUAAAAUAUUUUGUGAAAUUGGAUUUAUAAGUAAAUUUUUUUUAAUUAUAAUUGAUUGAAUUAUGUUAAUAUAUAUGUACACAUC
rnacentral:rRNA from 1 species